CGCAUCUGUGCAUGCAGCAUAUCAAUAAGCGGAGGAAAAGAAACUAACAAGGAUUCCCCUAGUAACGGCGAGUGAAGCGGGAAGAGCUCAAAUUUGAAAUCUUAAAGGGUUUCCCUUUACGAAUUGUAGUUUAAAGAAGUGUUUUCUGUUGAGGUUUUGGUAAAAGUUCUUUGGAAUAGGACAUCAUAGAGGGUGAGAAUCCCGUAUUUGACCUUUACUUUCAACUUUGUGGUACACUUUCAAAGAGUCGGAUUGUUUGGGAAUGCAGUCCAAAAUGGGUGGUAAAUUUCAUCUAAAGCUAAAUAUUGGCGAGAGACCGAUAGCGAACAAGUACCGUGAGGGAAAGAUGAAAAGAACUUUGAAAAGAGAGUUAAACAGUACGUGAAGUUGUCAAAAGGGAAGCGUUUGACACCAGUGUCGUUUUUCUGAAAAUCAAUUAAAGAACUGUUUAUGCUAAGUUGUUUAGACUUUAUCAGCUAACUGUUUAGUUUUGAGCUUUUCUUUAAUGCACUUUUCAGUUAACAAGUCAACAUCAAUUUCUUUUGCUGUAAAAAAGCUUGAGGAAGGUGGCUUGAGAUUCGUCUUAAGUGUUUAUAGCCUCUUGCCUAUGCAGUCGGAGAGAUUGAGGUCUGCAGCGUAGAUCCUUCGGGGCUAAAUGCAUUUGUGCUAAGUUAUAGCAUUUUAUAGACAACUUGUCGACUAUGAUUUGUCUUGUAGCUUACUCGCUUAUGUUAUUUUACCUACGCUUAGGAUGUUGAGUCAUCACACAUCUCU
rnacentral:rRNA from 1 species